AGGUCUCCGUUGGUGAACCAGCGGAGGGAUCAUUAUAGAGUUUUCUAAACUCCCAACCCAUGUGAACUUACCAUUGUUGCCUCGGCAGAAGCUGCUCGGUGCACCUUACCUUGGAACGGCCUACCCUGUAGCGCCUUACCCUGGAACGGCUUACCCUGCAACGGCUGCCGGUGGACUACCAAACUCUUGUUAUUUUAUGGUUAUCUGAGCGUCUUAUUUUAAUAAGUCAAAACUUUCAACAACGGAUCUCUUGGUUCUGGCAUCGAUGAAGAACGCAGCGAAAUGCGAUAAGUAAUGUGAAUUGCAGAAUUCAGUGAAUCAUCGAAUCUUUGAACGCACAUUGCGCCCAUUAGUAUUCUAGUGGGCAUGCCUGUUCGAGCGUCAUUUCAACCCUUAAGCCUAGCUUAGUGUUGGGAGCCUACUGCUUUUGCUAGCUGUAGCUCCUGAAAUACAACGGCGGAUCUGCGAUAUCCUCUGAGCGUAGUAAUUUUUAUCUCGCUUUUGACUGGAGUUGCAGCGUCGUUAGCCGCUAAACCCCCCAAUUUUUAAUGGUUGACCUCGGAUCAGGUAGGAAUACCCGCUGAACUUAAGCAUAUC
rnacentral:rRNA from 1 species